rnacentral:rRNA from 1 species
GGGGAAUAUUGCACAAUGGGCGCAAGCCUGAUGCAGCGACGCCGCGUGAGGGAUGACGGCCUUCGGGUUGUAAACCUCUUUCGGCGCGGAAGAAGCCGCCCUUCGGGGUGGUGACGGUACGCGCGGAAGAAGCGCCGGCUAACUACGUGCCAGCAGCCGCGGUAAUACGUAGGGCGCGAGCGUUGUCCGGAAUUAUUGGGCGUAAAGAGCUCGUAGGCGGCCUGCCGCGUCCGCUGUGAAAGCCCGGGGCUCAACCCCGGGUCGGCAGUGGGUACGGGCAGGCUGGAGUGCAGUAGGGGAGACCGGAAUUCCUGGUGUAGCGGUGAAAUGCGCAGAUAUCAGGAGGAACACCGAUGGCGAAGGCAGGUCUCUGGGCUGUUACUGACGCUGAGGAGCGAAAGCAUGGGGAGCGAAC